UUCAUACUUUUCAGUAGCACCUGCGUAUGCGUACGUCGUUACUGUUCAUUGUACGGUGUAUGCGAAAUUUGUCUUCCUAUUAGUAACAAUUUCCCAUACACAAAUAGUUUGACAUGCACAAUUUAUUGGAAGUAUGAUUAUAUUUUAUUUCUCCAACAAAGGGUUCUGCCCGAUACAUCUUCACUUUCACUACAUUACUUUCUUUAAUUUGGGAGUUUUAUUAACGGACAAUUUCCAUUGAUUUCUUGGGUUCUAAUUUUUUUAGAGGAACUGGGGGUGGGAUUUACAAAAUUUGUAUCUGGGGCAAAAUGAGUAAUUUCUGAUACCUCGUUAUUUUUCUCCCCACCUGUUGGAAAUUAUUACAUUGCAAGUAUUGCAUCAUCGGGCCAGCAUAAUUGUUGUUGUUGAAGUUGAGAGAGUUUGAAACAAUCAGAUGACAAGUACUUCUUUUUCAAGAAAUAUUUUAACUUUGACCCGAUUGUAAUUGAGGUUGCUAAUAAAAUAUCUGGAUAAUUUUUGCUGUUUAACAAUCAAGAUUUUUUUCUCUGUUGGAUUCCAGGGGCUGUUUGCAAGAAUAUGAAAAAUGCAACAGAAGCAGGGGUUGAGUUAGUGACUUGAGAAUGGCUUUGGACUGCCAGUGACAGAAAUGGCGGCUGAAGGAGAAGACAAAAAAAAUUUGGACAAGUUUGCUCUUGGCAAUGAAUCUACCACUGAUCUCAGGUCUGCACAAAUGGAAAAUAAAGAUAACCCAUUUACGGGUUACCUCAAUUUUUUAAGUUUUUAUUUGCAGAUAUGAAUGAUUGCUGGACUUUGUCACAAAUAGCCACAGCUGUAUAAGUGACCUCAACACCAGUUAAAUAAAUAUCUUAGUUUUACAGUGUAUAUUGGCCAGUAUAUUUUGUCUUCAUUUUUAUUAACUUUUAAAUGUUGUGAUUUACU